rnacentral:rRNA from 1 species
UGGGGAAUAUUGGACAAUGGGCGCAAGCCUGAUCCAGCCAUGCCGCGUGAGUGAUGAAGGCCCUAGGGUUGUAAAGCUCUUUCACCGGUGAAGAUAAUGACGGUAACCGGAGAAGAAGCCCCGGCUAACUUCGUGCCAGCAGCCGCGGUAAUACGAAGGGGGCUAGCGUUGUUCGGAUUUACUGGGCGUAAAGCGCACGUAGGCGGACUUUUAAGUCAGGGGUGAAAUCCCGGGGCUCAACCCCGGAACUGCCUUUGAUACUGGAAGUCUUGAGUAUGGUAGAGGUGAGUGGAAUUCCGAGUGUAGAGGUGAAAUUCGUAGAUAUUCGGAGAAACACCAGUGGCGAUGGCGGCUCACUGGACCAUUACUGACGCUGAGGUGCGAAAGCGUGGGGAGCAAACAGG